AGAAUCAACGCUGGCGGCGUGCCUCAGACAUGCAAGUCGAACGCGAAAGUCCCCUUCGGGGGAUGAUUAGAGUGGCGCACGGGUGAGUAACACGUAGGUAAUCUACCUUCGAGUGGGGAAUAGCUCAGGGAAACUUGAGCUAAUACCGCAUAAUGCAGCGGCACCACAUGGUGACAGUUGUUAAAGCAUUUAUGCGACUUGAAGAGGAGCCUGCGGCAGAUUAGCUAGUUGGUAAAGGUAAUGGCUUACCAAGGCUACGAUCU
rnacentral:rRNA from 1 species